CGGACGGGUGAGUAAUGUCUGGGAAACUGCCCGAUGGAGGGGGGUAACUACUGGAAACGGUAGCUAAUACCGCAUAACGUCGCAAGACCAAAGAGGGGACCUUAGGGCCUCUUGCCAUCGGAUGUGCCCAGAUGGGAUUAGCUAGUAGGUGGGGUAAUGGCUCACCUAGGCGACGAUCCCUAGCUGGUCUGAGAGGAUGACCAGCCACACUGGAACUGAGACACGGUCCAG
rnacentral:rRNA from 1 species